GGGCGUUGGUAACUUGGUGCCGAGCUGAAGGAAAGUUGGUUUUUUCCUUUCGUCAGUCGUCAGUCGUCAGUCAGGCUGUCAGCGUUCCCUACAGGCAGCAGAAAGGAGAAAAUACAGCAGUUCGAUUCUAAUGGCGGAUGAAACUCGGCUCAAGCAAUAGCAAGACGCAAUGUAGAAGUAGGUGGAAACUCAUGAAGAAAACAUUCUUGAAAUCAAGGAAUGACUUGACCAAUUAGCUGACAAGAUGAGAACCAUUGUAGAGAAUCAGAAUGCAGUGGCUAACAGGGAGAGGCAAUGGGAGCACGAACAGGAGGGCCAAGAUCAAAGGAGGGGUCUCAACAGAGGUUUGAGGUUGGAUUUCGCUCACUUUGAUGGGGAGAAUCCUGCAGGAUGGUUAUCCAAGGCCAUUCACUUCAAGUUUCACCAGACCCCAUCGGCACAAAGGUUGUUGAUGGCCUCUUAUUGAAGCCCUAGUGCGGUAUCAAGACGCAGCAAAGAGUGGAAUAUUCGAUAGCUGGGAGACGUUUCCCGAGCUAUGUUGAUAAGAUUUGAACUACUGCAUACGAUGAUUCGAUGGAGACCCUCACCAAACUUAAACAAACCACCUACGUUUCAGCUUAAAA